UGUCAAAAGGGAAACAGCCCAGACCUACAGCUAAGGUCCCAAAGUCAGGUUAAGUGGAAAACGAUGUGAAGAUACGCAGACAACCAGGAUGUUGGCUCAGAAGCAGCCACUCAUUCAAAGAGUGCGUAAUAGCUCACUGGUCGAGCGUCUUUGCGCGGAGAAUUUAACGGGGCUAAACCUGACACCGAAGCUUAGGCAAUCCAGUAAUGGAUUGGGUAGGGGAGCGUUGUAUACGCGGAGAAACAGUAGCGUAAGCGGCUGUGGAGUGUAUAGAAGUGAGAAUGCCGGAAUGAGUAGCGCGAAUGCAGUGAGAAUCUGCAUGGCCGAAAGCCUCAGGUUUUUGGAGGAAGGUUCGUCCGCUCCAAGUUAGUCGGGAGCUAAGGUGAGGCCGGAAGGCGUAGCCGAUGCACAGACGGUAGAGAUUCCGUCACCACCAAAAGAGUUAAGCACAGGGACACAUUUGAAGUCUCAGAGCCGGGUGUUGGUUCCGGUAGAGAUCGAGGGAAAUUAGUACCGAAGUCUGAGAUGGAAGAUGGCGAGAAAAGCUGUGUGUAUUUCUGAGGUGCCCGUACCGCAAACCGACACAGGUAGGUAGGAAGAAGAUUCUAAGGCCAACGGGAGAAGGGUUGUUAAGGAACUCGGCAAAUUGACCCCGUAACUUCGGGAGAAGGGGUGCUCCAGAGAUGGAGCCGCAGAGAAUCGGCCCAAGCAACUGUUUACCAAAAACACAGGUUUGUGCUAAAUCGAAAGAUGACGUAUACGAGCUGACGCCUGCCCGGUGCUGGAAGGUUAAGAGGAGAUGUGCAAGCAUUGAAUCGAAGCCCCAGUGAACGGCGGCCGUAACUAUAACGGUCCUAAGGUAGCGAAAUUCCUUGUCAGGUAAGUUCUGACCCGCAUGAAAGGCGUAAUGAUUUGGGCACUGUCUCAACAGCCCGCCCGGCGAAAUUGUAGUACCGGUGAAGAUGCCGGUUACCCGCGACAAGACGGAAAGACCCCAUGGAGCUUUACUGUAGCCUAAUAUUGGGUUUCGAUGUUGCAUGCACAGGAUAGAUGGGACACAGGGAAACAGGAGCUUUGGCUUCUGCGGAGUGGCCGUUGGGAUACCAUCCUUGCGAUAUUGGAAUUCUAACCUGCGGCUCUGAAUCGAGUCGGGGGACAUUGUUAGGUGGGCAGUUUGACUGGGGCGGUCGCCUCCUAAAAAGUA
rnacentral:rRNA from 1 species